AAGAGGCAGGAAGGACAAGAAAAAUGCCAUGGCCCUGGUCAUGGCCCUCAGGCAGGCAGACAUAAGAGGCUUAGAAAGGGGAAAGGCUUGGGUUAGCCAUCAGUCUGGCAAAGCUUGCUACCAAUGCAGCCUAAAAGACACUUUAAGAAAGAUUGUCCCAAGAAGAAUGAGCCACCUCCUCGUCCUUGCCCACUGUGCCAAGGGGUUCACCCGAAGGCACCCUGUACCAGGGGAUGAAGCCUCCGAGAGCCUGAGGUGGCUAAUCAGAUGACCCAACAGCAGGACUGAGGGUGCUUGGGGCAAGCGCCAGCACAAGCCAUCACCUCGCCGAGCCCCAGGUCCAUUCAUGGGAAGACCAUUUUCAGUUAUUCUGUCUACCCCAAAGGCAGUUAAGGUGGUGGGAAUUGGAUCACAGAUGGAUCACACUUGGCUGAAAUGUUGGAUGCCUCCUGAAGAAGAUCAUAGGCCCUCUGCUCCACAGCCUGAGGUUCCAGGAGGCUGCCCUUCACAAACCUCACUUACUUUACAUUAGAAAUUCCGAAUGGACAUUCUAAUUGGCUCAGUUUAAAUCAUGAAGCUAUAUCCUGCCUGGGUGUGAGAAGACCAAGUAACUGCCCCCUUCAAGUUCACAGUGAAAGAAACUUUGUCUCCAAAUAAAAUAACAUAAAA